ACCACAACAGCAGCUCCAACCACAACUACGGCGGCUCCAACCACAACUACAGCAGCUUCAACCACGACCUCAGAUUCUCCAACCAGAACUACAGCUGCUCCAACCGCAAUUACAGCGGCUCCAACCACAACAGAAGCUCCAACCACAACAGCAGCUCCAACCACAACAACAGCUGCUCCAACCACAACCACAGAUGCUCCAACCACAACCACAGCCGUUCCAAAAUUAAUAAGACAACUGAGUUUCACGUCUAAUGAAAAUUUUACUCCUGAUUUGGGUGACCCAUCAUCAGAAGCAUUCAGAGCACGCUCUGACAAAAUUAAAAAGACACUCGAACCAGUCUUCAAACGAACACUCCAUGCCUUUUUAGGGGUGGGACGCAUUAUGUUCAGUGCGGGAUCAAUCAUCACCUCAGUGGACCUUGAAUUUGAGUCAUCGUCAACUCCUAAUGAUACACUAAUCUCAGAAACGAUGGUUACUGAGGCUUCAAAUAUUACAGAAUUUAAUGUGGAUGUUACAACCAUCUCUGUCAGCAACCCAGCUGCUCCAACCACAACUACAGCUCCUCCAACCAGCACUACAGCAGCUCCAACAACAACAGCAGAUCCAACCACCACCACUGCUGCUCCAACCACAACCACAGCUACUCCAACCACAACCACUGCUGCCCCAACGACAACCACAGCUGCCCCAACUACAACCACAUCUGCUCC